AGGAGCUUGCUCCUCUGAUUUAGCGGCGGACGGGUGAGUAACACGUGGGUAAUCUGCCUGUAAGACGGGGAUAACUCCGGGAAACCGGGGCUAAUACCGGAUAAUAAGAGAAGAAGCAUUUCUUCUUUUUGAAAGUCGGUUUCGGCUGACACUUACAGAUGAGCCCGCGGCGCAUUAGCUAGUUGGUGAGGUAACGGCUCACCAAGGCGACGAUGCGUAGCCGACCUGAGAGGGUGAUCGGCCACACUGGGACUGAGACACGGCCCAGACUCCUACGGGAGGCAGCAGUAGGGAAUCUUCGGCAAUGGGCGAAAGCCUGACCGAGCAACGCCGCGUGAGCGAUGAAGGCCUUCGGGUCGUAAAGCUCUGUUGUUAGAGAAGAACAAGUACGAGAGUAACUGCUCGUACCUUGACGGUACCUAACCAGAAAGCCACGGCUAACUACGUGCCAGCAGCCGCGGUAAUACGUAGGUGGCAAGCGUUAUCCGGAAUUAUUGGGCGUAAAGCGCGCGCAGGCGGUCUCUUAAGUCUGAUGUGAAAGCCCACGGCUCAACCGUGGAGGGUCAUUGGAAACUGGGAGACUUGAGUGCAGGAGAGAAAAGUGGAAUUCCACGUGUAGCGGUGAAAUGCGUAGAGAUGUGGAGGAACACCAGUGGCGAAGGCGGCUUUUUGGCCUGUAACUGACGCUGAGGCGCGAAAGCGUGGGGAGCAAACAGGAUUAGAUACCCUGGUAGUCCACGCCGUAAACGAUGAGUGCUAGGUGUUGGGGGGUUCCACCCUCAGUGCUGAAGUUAACACAUUAAGCACUCCGCCUGGGGAGUACGACCGCAAGGUUGAAACUCAAAGGAAUUGACGGGGGCCCGCACAAGCAGUGGAGCAUGUGGUUUAAUUCGAAGCAACGCGAAGAACCUUACCAGGUCUUGACAUCCUUUGACCACUCUAGAGAUAGAGCUUUCCCCUUCGGGGGACAAAGUGACAGGUGGUGCAUGGUUGUCGUCAGCUCGUGUCGUGAGAUGUUGGGUUAAGUCCCGCAACGAGCGCAACCCUUGACCUUAGUUGCCAGCAUUCAGUUGGGCACUCUAAGGUGACUGCCGGUGACAAACCGGAGGAAGGUGGGGAUGACGUCAAAUCAUCAUGCCCCUUAUGACCUGGGCUACACACGUGCUACAAUGGAUGAUACAAAGGGUUGCGAAGCCGCGAGGCCAAGCCAAUCCCAAAAAGUCAUUCUCAGUUCGGAUUGUAGGCUGCAACUCNCUUACAUGAAGCGGGAAU
rnacentral:rRNA from 1 species